ACCAUGGCGGACGGGUGAGUAACGCGUAAAGAACUUGCCUCUUAGUCUGGGAUAACAGAUGGAAACGACUGAUAAGACUAGAUAUUAUUAAAGUUUCGCAUGAAGCUUUAAUGAAAAGAGAUGCUAAGAGAGAGCUUUGCGUCCUAUUAGUUAGUUGGUGAGGUAACGGCUCACCAAGACGAAGAUAGGUAGCCGGUCUGAGAGGAUGAACGGCCACAAGGGGACUGAGAUACGGCCCUUACUCU
rnacentral:rRNA from 1 species